CGGGAAGACAACUAGGCUUGUGAAAUCUCAUGCCUGACAGCACAAUUUUGCAUGACACUUCUGACCUGCAUGUCAAGAGAAAACGCAAGAUUGAAGAAGCCCAUGGGUUAACAAGAUUGAUGAGCAGUGUCCACCAUCCUUUCACUACAUACCUCAUAGCCUCGCUUUCUCUAGUGCUUCUAUCAAUUUCUCCCUUUCUGAGAUCGGAAAUGAGAAUUGCUGUUCAAAUUGUUAUGGUGACUGCCUGCCUUGUCCAGUACCCUGUGCUUGUGCAUGUGCAAAUGGGGGUGAGUUUAUAUACACUGUGAAAGGUCUUGUAAAGGAAGCUUUUUUGUUGAAGUGUAUUUCUGUCAAUCGCGACCCUAAAAAGAGCCACCACUUAUAUUGUUGGGAAUGCCCUCUAGAAAAGUCAAAAGAUAACAACAUUUUAGAACCGUAUACGGGCCACCUGAA